rnacentral:rRNA from 1 species
UACGUAGGGUGCGAGCGUUGUCCGGAAUUAUUGGGCGUAAAGAGCUCGUAGGCGGUUUGUUGCGUCUAUCGUGAAAACCUGCAGCUUAAUUGUGGGCUUGCGGUGGAUACGGGCAGACUUGAGUUCGGUAGGGGAGACUGGAAUUCCUGGUGUAGCGGUGAAAUGCGCAGAUAUCAGGAGGAACACCGGUGGCGAAGGCGGGUCUCUGGGCCGAUACUGACGCUGAGGAGCGAAAGCGUGGGGAGCGAACAGG